CCUACGGGGGGCUGCAGUGGGGAAUCUUGCGCAAUGGGCGAAAGCCUGACGCAGCCAUGCCGCGUGAAUGAUGAAGGUCUUAGGAUUGUAAAAUUCUUUCACCGGGGACGAUAAUGACGGUACCCGGAGAAGAAGCCCCGGCUAACUUCGUGCCAGCAGCCGCGGUAAUACGAAGGGGGCUAGCGUUGCUCGGAAUUACUGGGCGUAAAGGGAGCGUAGGCGGACAUUUAAGUCAGGGGUGAAAUCCCGGGGCUCAACCUCGGAAUUGCCUUUGAUACUGGGUGUCUUGAGUAUGAGAGAGGUGUGUGGAACUCCGAGUGUAGAGGUGAAAUUCGUAGAUAUUCGGAAGAACACCAGUGGCGAAGGCGACACACUGGCUCAUUACUGACGCUGAGGCUCGAAAGCGUGGGGAGCAAACAGGAUUAGAUACCCUAGUAGUC
rnacentral:rRNA from 1 species